rnacentral:lncRNA from 1 species
GUAAAUGGGUCUCAAGUUCUAGAGAGAAAACAGUAGUAGGCCUUGCUCAGUGUCCACCAUGAAGUGCAGAAGGCACAGGUGUGACCUUUCCCCACCUUCAGGAACUCUUCACUGGCUAACGUUUUCAACACAAUUUUUAUUUCUUAAAGGCAAAAUAUUUUGUGUCCUGUGUUGCAAGAUCACAAUGGUUAGUAAAAUCUUAGUAUUUGGAAAUAGAAUAAGCUUGUUUCUUCCCUUUUAAAAUGUCUGUCUCAGAAAUAUAAGUCCAGGAAAGUCCAAGAAAAUGAGCAGGGGCAUACUCUGAGCAUGGUGUAUGUGGGAAUUUGGAGGUUUUGUAAAACCCUUUUCUCCAAGCCCAUGUCACUAUCCAUUGAACCAAAGUCCUCAGGAGUCUGGAAAGUCGGGAGGUUGGGCCAAAAGUCUAGAAACUUGGCUGUAGGUCAGCGUGACACACUUUUUUACAGAGUCUGUGGUUUUGCAUAUUUUUUUGGCAGGCAAGUAUAUUUUAGUUAUUUUUCUGUGACCUUGAUAUUUGAAAUUAAGAUUGUCAGUGUAUUUGGACUUUUUUUUUCCCCUGAAGUUAGAACAGUUGUAUUAGGCAUUUACUCUUGUGAAUCUUUAUGCAGAUGUCUUACCAGUCUUGUGAAUAAAGUGCAGAUGACAUACUUUGUAUUGUAGGAAUCUCACUGCCCAUCCUGUCUGCCAGUGGCUCUGUUAGGCUAGGUUCUUCACUCCAAAGCUGGGACUUAAUGUCCUUCUAGUUGGGAAUCUUCAGAAGUAAUUUGAAUGAGUUCAAACCAAAUCUUGAUAGCAGGAGACAGCUUCCUGGUCUAGAUGUACAAUUAGCUUAGGUUGGAAUUAAAGAGGGUUUGGGAAUGUCUUUAGUCUCUGUGUAAAUACCAACGUGCUUAUUAUGCAUCGUAAACCAGUGUGUAUGCCUGUGUAUGGGUCUGUAGAGCUGGUUUCUGCUUCAAGUGAAGCUGCACCUUUGAUUUUAUAAGGUCCCCUCCACCCGGAACCCUAUAAACGUUUGUAAAUAGAACACUAAAAUUUGUAGCGAUAGGAUCAAUUUGGGAAAUAUCUGCUGAGAGACCAAAAAGUUCAUUUUUUUAAGUACCUUGGUUAAAGAGUAAAGAUUAUUCCUCUUAUUUUUUAAAAGAAGUAUGCACUUUAACAAACACAGCUGCAUGGGCAAUUCAAACAAAUCCAUGAAGUGCAGUACCCAUCCAGAAACCACACUUCCUGAAAACCGUUCAAAGCAGAGUCCAGACGGGCUGGUGAUCUCACUGCCUGUAGGUUGAAGCUCAGAUUCUGAUAAAUUGUGAGACAAGCAGGGCUGCUUCAAAGAGCAAUGUGAAUACAGCCAGAAGCUUCAGACAGGUCUGUAAAAUGGCGGGUCCCGUAUUUACCACUAACUAGCAAAACUGACAGAAAAACUCAUAGAAAUAAAGUUAAGAAUCCUUCCUGCUGGUGUGCACUCCUUCCAAUAGCAGACUUUUGCAAAUGGAGUUUUACAGUCUAUAUUUAAAAAAUUGUAUGUUUGUAACAAAUAAAGUAUGCGGAAAAGUGAA